AACGAACGCUGGCGGCAUGCCUAACACAUGCAAGUCGAACGAGACCUUCGGGUCUAGUGUCGCACGGGUGCGUAACGCGUGGGAACCUGCCCUUAGGUUCGGAAUAACUCCCCGAAAGGGGUGCUAAUACCGGAUAAUGUCUUCGGACCAAAGAUUUAUCGCCUUUGGAUGGACCCGCGUUGGAUUAGCUAGUUGGUAGGGUAAAAGCAUACCAAGGCGACGAUCCAUAGCUGGUCUGAGAGAAUGAUCAGCCACACUGGGACUGAGACACGGCCCAGACUCCUACGGGAGGCAGGAGUGGGGAAUAUUGGACAAUGGGGGAAGGCCUGAUCCAGCAAUGCCGCGUGAGUGAUGAAGGCAUGAGAGUUGUAAAGCUCUUUUACCCGGGAUGAUAAUGACAGUACCGGGAGAAUAAGCUCCGGCUAACUCCGUG
rnacentral:rRNA from 1 species